rnacentral:rRNA from 1 species
GACGAACGCUGGCGGCGUGCUUAACACAUGCAAGUCACGGGGGUCCCGCAAGGGAUAACCGGCGAACGGGUGCGUAACACGUGAACAACCUGCCCUCGUGUGGGGGAUAGCCAUGCUAACGCGUGGGUAAUACCGCAUACGUUCUCUUUGGGGAGUCCCGAGGAGAGGAAAGCUCCGGCGCACGGGGAGGGGUUCGCGGCCUAUCAGCUAGUUGGCGGGGUAAUGGCCCACCAAGGCGACGACGGGUAGCUGGCUGAGAGGAUGGCCAGCCACAUUGGGACUGAGAGACGGCCCAGACUCCUACGGGAGGCAGCAGUGGGGAAUCUUGCGCAAUGGCCGAAAGGCUGACGCAGCGACGCCGCGUGUGGGAGGACGCCUUUCGGGUGUAAACCACUGUUGCCCGGGACGAACAGCUCAUUCGUGAGGUCUGACGGUACCGGGUGAGGAAGCACCGGCU